rnacentral:rRNA from 1 species
GCACAACGCGAAGAACCUUACCUGGUCUUGACAUAGUAAGAACUUUCCAGAGAUGGAUUGGUGCCUUCGGGAACUUACAUACAGGUGCUGCAUGGCUGUCGUCAGCUCGCGUCGUGAGAUGUUGGGUUAAGUCCCGUAACGAGCGCAACCCUUGUCCUUAGUUACCAGCACGUUAUGGUGGGCACUCUAAGGAGACUGCCGGUGACAAACCGGAGGAAGGUGGGGAUGACGUCAAGUCAUCAUGGCCCUUACGGCCUGGGCUACACACGUGCUACAAUGGUCGGUACAGAGGGUUGCCAAGCCGCGAGGUGGAGCUAAUCUCACAAAACCGAUCGUAGUCCGGAUCGCAGUCUGCAACUCGACUGCGUGAAGUCGGAAUCGCUAGUAAUCGCGAAUCAGAAUGUCGCGGUGAAUACGUUCCCGGGUCUUGUACACACCG